CAUAUGAACAACAUAAAAAUGUAUACUUUUAAUUUAUUAUUGAUAUGUACUGACUUAAAUGAAAUGCAUACAUUGUACAUUCUCCAUUCGCGAAAAGCUGAGAAUCCCAGAAGAUAGUCAUCUUUAUAUUCAUCUCCACGUGGUUUCUUCCACGUUAAUCCCAUCCCCCGUCAUAUCAUGAAUAUGCAGUGAUACACAAAACAUAAAUGCUGGAAAAUUUUAAUUUUUAAAACUAUUCUUGGACAUCUAUAGGCCAUCUAAUUUUAAUCAAUUGUUAGUUAACUGACGUGCAUACCUGAAGAUUAAGCUUUCCUUAAGUACUUUCUUUGUAUUUUUUGCAAAUUGUUUUGAUAGUUAUCUCUGACCAUAACACUUAUCGAUAGCACAACUUUGUUUCCUGUGGUUGGUAACAACACAGGCUACGGGUGGCCGCAUGCUCUGGCUUACUGGAAGGCUUACAUCUCUGAAGGCAAACCAGAGCGUGUGUGGUGAAUUUGGCCGGAAACCAAGCCUCCAAUAAAUCUGCAGUCGCUUGAUUUCUUGCCUCGAGGUUUGCUGAAUGUUUACAAGUUGUAACGUGCAUGGGCAGAGACGAGGGUAAAGGCAAGGCUUGUAGCAUUUAGUCAUCUCAACCAACCACCAAGAACUUAACUAAGUUAAACUAAGUUUAACAGUUCCAUAUGUGUCCUCACCCAUUCGCAGGUAGUUAUGCCAAUCUGUCGGCUCUAAUUGAAUUUCAUUCAACAAAUUUAUAUGAGAAUGUUUUGAUCCAUCUAACCAACUUCUGACCCACUUAGAACGUUUCAACUUUCUUUUCUUUUUCAACAUUAAAGUAACAGCAAAACCGAUUAAAAUUGCAUUGUCUUCACUGAACAUGUUGUAGCAUCGACUGAAAAAAAAAAAGACUGAGCACAAACCUGCCAAAAAAGUCUUUACGUGUGUGGACUCUCAGAGGUUUGAGACUUACCUUCAGACUUUAACUUGGAAGGCAGGCCUUCCGGCAAGCCGGAGCGUGUGUGGCCACCCUUAGACAGUCGGUAGGACUCCUUGGAUGAGUGAUCAGCCUGUCGCAAGGACUCUACCUGUACACAGGAGAGCACAACACAGACAUCAAACAUCCGUGCCUUGAGUGGGAUUUGGACCCACGGUCCCAGUGACCAAGCGGCACAAGGCCCACACAUCAGACCACGCGGCUACUGUGACAGCUCAUUUAAUGUUAUAUAUUUAAAUUGUUAACUGUUAGUGAAUAAACAUUUAAUUUUUAAGGGCAGAUUUUAGCUCUAGUUUUGUUUCAGCAUAGUAAACUUUAUUCUGUAGAUAGUAAGAUCAGCAGCCCACCUUCUGUCACCAGUGAUGUUAGCAUACGUGCAUCUCUUCAAUGCAGUAGAUGUGAAGUAACUCUGUGCUUGGGCUACAUGACAGAAAUAGGGGUAGAAGAGAUGUAAUUUUUCCUGCUUGAUUAUGUUUGUGUUCCAUAAUGACUGCAUAAACUUGUGACGUUGCAUGAAAUAUUUCUGUUAUAAAUUGUAAAUGUUAUUAGACCCCAUGAUAGUCCUCUGGGUUGUAUUCUGUUCUCUUAUAUUCUAAUGUUGUGUGUUCCUCCAGAAUGUUGGUAUCUACAUAGAAAUCCAUAUGACAUUACAAACAUGUACAUUUUCACCACAGAGUGAACCCCCCAUAUCCCAUUAAUAGAGCAAAUAAAUAUUAACUGGCUAGACAGAGUACAUGGAACUCUACUACAUGAUAUUCUUUUCUGAGCUCCUGCCAUGAUCUAAUAAUUGUCUUUUCUAGAUGAAACAUUUUAUUACUGUCAUACAAAGUGUGCCAAAGUGUUACACUGUGUCUCAUGAUUGAGUGGAAGUAUGAAAAGCACAGUUUUUAACAUUUCUUUACUAUAUAGAAAUAAACAUGACUUUAUUGUGAAACAUGCUACAAUAAUUUCAGCAGAAUGGGUACCACAUGCCUUCUAAAAUGUAAGUGAUUAUUAAUUUAUAAACAAAGAAAUUGUGUUGCUUUUGCUUCUUGCAAGGGAUGUAUCACUUAAAAUGCUACCCAACAAUUAUGUAGUAGGGAGCAACAUAAAAUCAGAACAGGUCCAUCCUAUAUAACAGAAUCUCCCAGCCUUCACUGACACAUUUGAGUCCAGGUCACAUUUGUUACUAGGCCACUGCUCAUGCCACUUUUACAAAAGCUGUGCAAGUGUGAACAUGAGCAUGAUGUGUGUUCAUUCUUGAACAUAAAUUUCCAUCAGAAUUGUUUGCUGCUGUUUAUGAAACAUUUAGAAAUGUGUCUCCUGAGAAUUAUGUACCAAAUAAGAGAAUACACCAACUAACUAACUA